UGGGGAAUCUUGCGCAAUGGGCGAAAGCCUGACGCAGCCAUGCCGCGUGAGUGAUGAAGGCCUUAGGGUUGUAAAACUCUUUCACCGGGGACGAUAAUGACGGUACCCGGAGAAGAAGCCCCGGCUAACUUCGUGCCAGCAGCCGCGGUAAUACGAAGGGGGCUAGCGUUGCUCGGAAUUACUGGGCGUAAAGGGCGCGUAGGCGGNUCAGCAAGUUGGGGUGGAAAGCCCGGGGCUCAACCUCGGAAUUGCCUUCAAAAACUGCUGAUCUAGAGUACGGGAGAGGUGUGUGGAACUCCGAGUGUAGAGGUGAAAAUUCGUAGAUAUUCGGAAGAAACACCAGUGGCGAAGGCGACAUACUGGCUCAUUACUGACGCUGAGGCUCGAAAAGCGUGGGGAGCAAAACAGGAUUAGAUACCCUGGUAGUCCACGCCGUAAACGAUGAUUGCUAGUUGUCGGGAUGCAUGCAUUUCGGUGACGCAGCUAAACGCAUUAAAGCAAUCCGCCUGGGGAGUACGGUCGCAAGAUUAAAAACUUAAAAGGAAUUGACGGGGUCAUAGCUGUUUCCU
rnacentral:rRNA from 1 species